GGUUAAGCGACUAAGCGUACACGGUGGAUGCCCUGGCAGUCAGAGGCGAUGAAGGACGUGCUAAUCUGCGAUAAGCGUCGGUAAGGUGAUAUGAACCGUUAUAACCGGCGAUUUCCGAAUGGGGAAACCCAGUGUGUUUCGACACACUAUCAUUAACUGAAUCCAUAGGUUAAUGAGGCGAACCGGGGGAACUGAAACAUCUAAGUACCCCGAGGAAAAGAAAUCAACCGAGAUUCCCCCAGUAGCGGCGAGCGAACGGGGAGGAGCCCAGAGCCUGAAUCAGUGUGUGUGUUAGUGGAAGCGUCUGGAAAGGCGCGCGAUACAGGGUGACAGCCCCGUACACAAAAAUGCACAUAUUGUGAGCUCGAUGAGUAGGGCGGGACACGUGGUAUCCUGUCUGAAUAUGGGGGGACCAUCCUCCAAGGCUAAAUACUCCUGACUGACCGAUAGUGAACCAGUACCGUGAGGGAAAGGCGAAAAGAACCCCGGCGAGGGGAGUGAAAAAGAACCUGAAACCGUGUACGUACAAGCAGUGGGAGCCUCUUUUAUGGGGUGACUGCGUACCUUUUGUAUAAUGGGUCAGCGACUUAUAUUCUGUAGCAAGGUUAACCGAAUAGGGGAGCCGAAGGGAAACCGAGUCUUAACUGGGCGUUAAGUUGCAGGGUAUAGACCCGAAACCCGGUGAUCUAGCCAUGGGCAGGUUGAAGGUUGGGUAACACUAACUGGAGGACCGAACCGACUAAUGUUGAAAAAUUAGCGGAUGACUUGUGGCUGGGGGUGAAAGGCCAAUCAAACCGGGAGAUAGCUGGUUCUCCCCGAAAGCUAUUUAGGUAGCGCCUCGUGAAUUCAUCUCCGGGGGUAGAGCACUGUUUCGGCAAGGGGGUCAUCCCGACUUACCAACCCGAUGCAAACUGCGAAUACCGGAGAAUGUUAUCACGGGAGACACACGGCGGGUGCUAACGUCCGUCGUGAAGAGGGAAACAACCCAGACCGCCAGCUAAGGUCCCAAAGUCAUGGUUAAGUGGGAAACGAUGUGGGAAGGCCCAGACAGCCAGGAUGUUGGCUUAGAAGCAGCCAUCAUUUAAAGAAAGCGUAAUAGCUCACUGGUCGAGUCGGCCUGCGCGGAAGAUGUAACGGGGCUAAACCAUGCACCGAAGCUGCGGCAGCGACGCUUAUGCGUUGUUGGGUAGGGGAGCGUUCUGUAAGCCUGUGAAGGUGUGCUGUGAGGCAUGCUGGAGGUAUCAGAAGUGCGAAUGCUGACAUAAGUAACGAUAAAGCGGGUGAAAAGCCCGCUCGCCGGAAGACCAAGGGUUCCUGUCCAACGUUAAUCGGGGCAGGGUGAGUCGACCCCUAAGGCGAGGCCGAAAGGCGUAGUCGAUGGGAAACAGGUUAAUAUUCCUGUACUUGGUGUUACUGCGAAGGGGGGACGGAGAAGGCUAUGUUGGCCGGGCGACGGUUGUCCCGGUUUAAGCGUGUAGGCUGGUUUUCCAGGCAAAUCCGGAAAAUCAAGGCUGAGGCGUGAUGACGAGGCACUACGGUGCUGAAGCAACAAAUGCCCUGCUUCCAGGAAAAGCCUCUAAGCAUCAGGUAACAUCAAAUCGUACCCCAAACCGACACAGGUGGUCAGGUAGAGAAUACCAAGGCGCUUGAGAGAACUCGGGUGAAGGAACUAGGCAAAAUGGUGCCGUAACUUCGGGAGAAGGCACGCUGAUAUGUAGGUGAAGCGACUUGCUCGUGGAGCUGAAAUCAGUCGAAGAUACCAGCUGGCUGCAACUGUUUAUUAAAAACACAGCACUGUGCAAACACGAAAGUGGACGUAUACGGUGUGACGCCUGCCCGGUGCCGGAAGGUUAAUUGAUGGGGUCAGCGCAAGCGAAGCUCUUGAUCGAAGCCCCGGUAAACGGCGGCCGUAACUAUAACGGUCCUAAGGUAGCGAAAUUCCUUGUCGGGUAAGUUCCGACCUGCACGAAUGGCGUAAUGAUGGCCAGGCUGUCUCCACCCGAGACUCAGUGAAAUUGAACUCGCUGUGAAGAUGCAGUGUACCCGCGGCAAGACGGAAAGACCCCGUGAACCUUUACUAUAGCUUGACACUGAACAUUGAGCCUUGAUGUGUAGGAUAGGUGGGAGGCUUAGAAGUGUGGACGCCAGUCUGCAUGGAGCCGACCUUGAAAUACCACCCUUUAAUGUUUGAUGUUCUAACGUUGACCCGUAAUCCGGGUUGCGGACAGUGUCUGGUGGGUAGUUUGACUGGGGCGGUCUCCUCCUAAAGAGUAACGGAGGAGCACGAAGGUUGGCUAAUCCUGGUCGGACAUCAGGAGGUUAGUGCAAUGGCAUAAGCCAGCUUGACUGCGAGCGUGACGGCGCGAGCAGGUGCGAAAGCAGGUCAUAGUGAUCCGGUGGUUCUGAAUGGAAGGGCCAUCGCUCAACGGAUAAAAGGUACUCCGGGGAUAACAGGCUGAUACCGCCCAAGAGUUCAUAUCGACGGCGGUGUUUGGCACCUCGAUGUCGGCUCAUCACAUCCUGGGGCUGAAGUAGGUCCCAAGGGUAUGGCUGUUCGCCAUUUAAAGUGGUACGCGAGCUGGGUUUAGAACGUCGUGAGACAGUUCGGUCCCUAUCUGCCGUGGGCGCUGGAGAACUGAGGGGGGCUGCUCCUAGUACGAGAGGACCGGAGUGGACGCAUCACUGGUGUUCGGGUUGUCAUGCCAAUGGCACUGCCCGGUAGCUAAAUGCGGAAGAGAUAAGUGCUGAAAGCAUCUAAGCACGAAACUUGCCCCGAGAUGAGUUCUCCCUGACCCUUUAAGGGUCCUGAAGGAACGUUGAAGACGACGACGUUGAUAGGCCGGGUGUGUAAGCGCAGCGAUGCGUUGAGCUAACCGGUACUAAUGAACCGUGAGGCUUAACCUU
rnacentral:rRNA from 1 species